GAUGAACGCUGGCGGCGUGCCUAAUACAUGCAAGUCGAGCGAACAGACGAGGAUUGCUCCCCGCUGACGCUAGCGGCGGACGGGUGAGUAACACGAGUAUAACCUACCUAGAAGACUGGGAUAACGUCAGGAAAGCUGAUCUAAUACCGGAUAAUAUAUUGAACCGCAGGGUUCAUUAGUGAAAGCCCGUUUAGCUGUCCCUAAGACAUGGAACCUCGCCGCAGUAGCUAGUUGGUAGGGUAACGGCCUACCAAGGCGACGAUGCGUAGCCGACCUGAGAGGGUGAUCGGUCACACUGGAACUGAGACACGGUCCAGACUCCUACGGGAGGCAGCAGUGGGGAAUAUUCCGCAAUGGGCGAAAGCCUGACACAGCCACGCCGCGUGAGUGAUGAAGGUCUUCGGAUCGUAAAGCUCUGUUAUUAGGGAGGAACAGAAGUAAGAGUAUACCUGGACGUUUUGACGGUACCUACUCAAAAAGCACCGGCUAACUACGUG
rnacentral:rRNA from 1 species